AUAAUCUUAUGAAAAAAUCUCACUAAAAAACUUGUGAUUGUUACAGAAUGCAGCUUAACAAAAGCUACCAGAUCCCACCAUCGAACAAGGAUUUAAAUUUCUUUUCAAAAAUCUUUCUGUUUGCAGCCCAAGUUUAUACCAAACAUAUGGUAAAUGAAUUCAACUCCAUUGAAAGUCAAAUCAUGCUGCCAAGCUUCACCUGCAGCUCGUGAAGGAGUGUCAACUCCUCACAAUUCUGUAGAACAUGAAAAGGAAGAUCUCAUUUUCUGAAGUGGCAAUAGCAAGACCUUAGAAAAACAGUUGGAACACAGAAAUCCAAUGGAUACAGCAAGAACAACCCACCCACAAAGAAAUUUAACUGAACCCCGAAGACCAUUUUUAUUUUACCUUAAAUCCCCAUUUCAAAAGUUUGCCUGAAAUAGCAAGAAUUCCAAUUUGCAGUCUAACUCGCGACCAGCUAGUCUUACCAUGUGCAGGGGCCGAGAGGAUGCGGCCCUUAGUCUCGAACAUCGAAAGGACGUCGACGACGGAUCAUCCUUUAUCGUUGUUGGAAUACCAAAGGCUGAACAAGGAAUCAGGACGAUAAAAAAAUUGGUUUCUGAAUGGAGGUUAUUUCGAAAGAGGAGAGCCCAAUAAUGGACUACCACUAAACAUGCAUUCACUGCUAAUUUACAAUCCAAUUCCAUCAACACACCUGGCGAACGAGCUAUGUUUGCAAAUGUUUUAAAUUGAAAUUUAUUUAUCAAAGAUGAGCUGGAAUGUUUGCAGUAGCUUUCAGAUGACAAGGGACCUGGUUUAAAGCAAUCGGCAGCCUCUUCAUCUUGUCUCCUCCAGAGACUCCUUCCGCGAUUUCCCUGGAGAAAAAUCAGGGUGAUCAAGUUCAUCAUACCUGUCGUGGAAAUGCAGACCGAAAGAGGAGUGCAAUCAACUAGUAAAAACCGGAAUAUCCAAUAAUGUUAAACUCUGUCCACCUGGACGAGGUUUCCAUCCGUCCAUGAAAUUGGUCAAGAAGAAUGCAGCCCAGCCAGUUAAUAAGGUCGGGAAAUUAAGUCAGCGGUGGCCCACAUCUUUCUAGGGCAUAUGAAUCGGAAGUGUAAUCCCAUCCCGGCCAUCCUUAAAGAAGCUGGUAUAUAUCAAUCAUUUUUCUUAUCUGUUUUAUCUAAUAAUCUUUCGAUUUAUU